GACAGAGGGUGCAAACGUUGUUCGGAUUUACUGGGCGUAAAGCGCGUGUAGGCGGCUUGGCAAGUCGGAUGUGAAAGCCCACGGCUCAACCGUGGAAGCGCAUCCGAAACUGCUUCGCUCGAGUCUCGGAGAGGAAGGUGGAAUGCUUGGUAUAGAGGUGAAAUUCGUAGAUAUCAAGCAGAACACCUGCGGCGAAGGCGGCCUUCUGGACGAUGACUGACGCUGAGACGCGAAAGCGUGGGGAGCAAACAGG
rnacentral:rRNA from 1 species